rnacentral:tRNA from 1 species
AAAAUCCGUCGACUUUAGAAAUCGUGAGGGUUNAAGUC